rnacentral:tRNA from 2 species
GCCGUAUUAACUCAGUUGGUAGAGUGCCUCAUUCGUAAUGAGGAAGUCACAAGUUCAAGUCUUGUAUACGGCACCA